CCGGGGACUGAUAAACAGACGGCACGGUUGUUGCACCGAUCUGAUUCCCCCUUAAAACUGGACGGAGAGGACCGUGUCCUCAUUACUCCUCUUUAUCUGCUUCAUUCAGUGGUCCCUGCAAAUGAUCAACAGAUGGUGCUGAUUAAAGUAGAACCUUCAGAAGAAUGGAUACCUGGUGUGGACCAGCCAGAUCCAGA